rnacentral:tRNA from 1 species
UGGGGCGUAGUUUAGCGGUAGAACGCCUGACUCUGAAUCAGGUAGGUGGGGUUCGAAUCCCUGCGCCCCAGCCA